rnacentral:rRNA from 1 species
AGAACGAACGUUAGCGGCGCGCCUAACACAUGCAAGUCGCACGAGAAAGGGCUUCGGCCCCGGUACAGUGGCGCACGGGUGAGUAACACGUAGAUCAUCUCCCCUCGAGUGGUGGAUAACUCUCCGAAAAGGAGAGCUAAUACAGCAUGAGACCACGGCUUCGUUGAAGCUGCGGCCAAAGCAGGCCUCUACACGUAAGCUUGCGCUUGAGGAUGAGUCUGCGGCCCAUCAGCUAGUUGGUAGGGUAAUGGCCUACCAAGGCUAAGACGGGUAGC